rnacentral:rRNA from 1 species
UACGUAGGGGGCAAGCGUUGUCCGGAAUCAUUGGGCGUAAAGAGCGUGUAGGCGGCCAGACAGGUCCGUUGUGAAAACUCGAGGCUCAACCUCGAGACGUCGACGGAAACCGUCUGGCUAGAGUCCGGAAGAGGAGUGUGGAAUUCCUGGUGUAGCGGUGAAAUGCGCAGAUAUCAGGAAGAACACCUAUGGCGAAGGCAGCACUCUGGGACGGUACUGACGCUGAGACGCGAAAGCGUGGGGAGCAAACAGG